AUGGACAGGCAGAGUACCUGAAGCCAAUGGGAUCUGGAGAAGGAGGCAGGAGAUCAGGACCUGCGGCCUCUCAGGGGUGAGAGGAUGUGUAUGUUCUCCCUGGGUCAAGGCAACACCCUGGGAAGCGGGACUUGAGGUGCUCUGCCAUGAUCCCCAAGUGGGUUCUGAGUGGAUGAGAGGAUUCUAGUAGAAGCAGAGCACAGGGUGGACUGCUUCUGGUCGGGGAGAGAAGAGAGGGAGGCAGCUGGAGCUCAAGCUGGUGUUACAUAGGUGCUUAUGCAGGAGAUGGCCCCACAACACUUCACAAGGAAGCCAGCACAUGUGCCCACGAGAGACAGCUGCUCAGAGAGCGCCACGGACCAGUCCAUGUCAUCCAGGGAAACAGUGACCAAUGUAAUAAAGAGGAUCAGUCCCUCCCCUUGGGCAGCUAAGUAAGGAGGCAGCUCUGCCCUUCCAUCCUUCUGUCCUGCUCCAACACCAGAGGACCUGGGUGGAGGAGACGGGGUGGUGAGAACAGACCCUGCUCCUGUCCUGCCAAGCUCUAUAGAGGUGCAGGUCCAAUGUUUGCAUAUGGGUCCGGGGUUGGGCAUGGGGGGUGGUGGGAAGAAAAAAGCCAUUGCUUAAAAAUAAGUUUAAAGUUUUCAAAUCCAUGGGCUUGAGUCCUACUGGCACCAAACUGUGACUGAAUAACCCUUAAUAGCUGGGCAUAUGUGGUGUUGGACUAAGAGUAUGUUAAGCACUACAAGGGAGAGUUUGAGGGUGCACAGAGACACUUUCGUGUUUGAAACCCUAUUCCUUAAUAAACGGGAUUCCAUUUUAGUUAGUGAGUGUCAGUCUUUUAAAGACUCGAUUUUCCCAGCUGGUAUGCCUUUCCUCAGCAGCUUACAUCUUCUCAUGACACUAGAUGACCUUUUCCAGACCUGAUGGGUACCACCUCAGUACACUGGCCAUCAAAAGGGACCACCACGGGAGAGAGAGGGAUGUCCCCAGAAAACCUUGCAGCCUCAAUAAUUUGUGUGGAAGUGAGCAAGAGUUUGUGGAUGACUCUACUUACCUCUGGGGAUGGGAAAGAGUUAUUAUGUUCAGAGCGGCUGUGUCUGAAUAUAUGGCCUUUUAAACUCCACAUUUACUGCCAAAUCCUUCCCUUCUGAGUCUGAAUCACGGCUCCAGCCACUUGCUCCUUGCAGCCACCUGGGAGUCCUAAAAUCAUGGAGUCUAGGAUGUCACCCUCACUCCCCUCACUUAAGGCAUAGCUAUGUCUUAAGGCAGAAUGAGAAAAAAAGCCAGGAGGGUAUGCUGUGAGAAGUCCAAUGAAGCAUGUGCAUGUCAUCGAGGGAGCAACAGUUGUGAUCCCCAUGUUCCAAGUGAAACGGAGAGAUCAGGUGGGCACUGUGGUUAUUCUCGUUUUUCUGAUGAAGACAGCACAGCUUGGAGAAGGGGAGACGCUUAUGCCAGGCUGUGCCGUUGGCGACGGAGGGGCCUGGACGCGAACCCUAGCAGGCUGAUGGCAAGGCCACCCGGCUGCCAGUACAACGGAAAGAACACUGACUUCUGAGGCUAGGUCAUUAAGCGUCCACCUGCCUCUCUCAUUUGGUCUAUCUCGAGACACGGGCCUGGCUGUCUGAGGCUUCCUACCCUGGGCACCAACCAGACUGAGUGAGACCAACGGCCCCGCCUCAGAGCCGCCGCCAGGAUGCCGAGGAGAGCAGAGGCAAACUGUCCCCACCAAGCCCUGACCCGACUGCGGAUCUAGAGCCUUCUCAAAAGCUGAAGUGCUUGCCAGGACCAAGGUGGGUAUUAAACCCAUGAAUAACGGCUGAGGCUUCGUCUGAAGCCUUCCCUUCCCCUGAAGGGAAGCAUAUUCAUAUUCGUCUUUUAACCAAUGGAGAAACCAGAAGAUGACUCACCCUUCAGAGCUGAGGGGGAUGUCAUGAUGCCUUUGACAAGAAUCCCUCUGGCUUCUGGAUUUUUCUAGGCAAAUGCUUUGCUUCUGCACAGGAUUCCUUUAAGGAGGACUUUCCUAGGGCACCUAAGAAUUUGCUUCCAGACCAUGAGUAUCUGAUGGAAGGCAGAGGAAGGAAGAGAAACAAGAGCUCUCGUCUGCUGUACCUCCAGGAGGAAUGAAGACAAAUGAUGAAGGAUUUCUGAAAUCAUGUAAAUCAAUGGAAAAAACAAGAUGGAUUCCCCAAAUUAAAUUUAUAUGCAAUUUUGCCUAGCAUUAUAAAAUAUUAGCUUUUGCAAAAACCUAACAUUUGCUACUAUAUGCUGAACUGACAUGUUCAUGACAUGAUUUAUUUACAUGAAUCCUCAUGACAACCAGAGAUGUGGAUAUUAUCCUCACCUGUCAUUGAGUAAACCAAGGCCCAGGAUGGGAAGACACUUGUCAAAGGUCACAGAUAUUUCAAGUUCACAUCACUCCAUAAAUCAAUGCUCAUAAAUCCAACUGUGUGUGUGUAUAUGUGUGUGUGUCUGUCCCUUGUGGGUUUUGUUUUUCUCCCGAAUGAAGCACAAAGGGUUAAUCAACAUUCAUUCCUCCAUUUGAAAAUGUUUUCUAAAAAGGAAACUAUUUUUGGAUAGAGUGAAUUAAAGAGUAAACAUGAGUCUUGCUGUUAGUUUAUUUUCCCUGAGUGCACA